rnacentral:rRNA from 1 species
UACGGAGGGGGCGAGCGUUAUUCGGAAUUAUUGGGCGUAAAGGGCGCGUAGGCGGCUUGAUAAGUCAAAGGUGAAAUCCCUCGGCUCAACUGAGGAACUGCCCUUUGAAAACUGGCGCUCGAGUCCCGGAGAGGAAGGUGGAAUUCCUGGUGUAGCGGUGAAAUGCGUAGAUAUCAGGAGGAAUACCGGUGGCGAAGGCGGCCUUCUGGACGGUGACUGACGCUGAGACGCGAAAACUGGGGGGAGCAAAAC